UGGAUUGGCCACGGGGCAUUUGCAGAGUGGGCUGCUGCUUGUUUUGGCCCCGCCCUCUGCUCAAUGGAAGUAAAAGUGAAUGGAAGUUAAGUGAAUGGAAGUAAAAGUGAAAGAUCUUGCGAAAGACGGAAAAAGACACGUCUUCAGAACCUGACAAGUGAAACGAAAUUGGCCGGAAGUCUCCUUUAAACACUUUUUGCGAGAGGAACGUUUUUGAGUGGAUCAUCUUUAUAGGAUGGCAGAUGUGAGUCAUACCAGGCGAGUGUGAGAGCCAAACAUUGCGAGAAGCAACACCAGAUGUUAGUGAGGGCUGUAAAACACGGUGUUCCUGGACUGGAGGUGAGCAGCUUUUUCUGCUGAUUAUACCGUGCUGACCUUGGUCGAGAUGAAGAUGGCUUUCAUUUGCAUUCUGCCUACAGGCCCGACUGAAUCAUUGCAUACCUGUGUAUGUACAGUGCAUGUGGAUUUCUCAAAGUGGGCACCUCCUCCACCAUAAUAAUAUAGGUUCUGGAACAUCAUGUUCUUCCUACAUAUUUACGACAUGCUCUCUCAACAACACUGUUUGUUUCUCAACAAGAAACAAAAUUCAGGAAGUACCAAUAUUCAUCUUAGAAACACACAGCUGCCACGUCCACAAGUG